GUAGUACCUCCCAAUCCAGCUCGCCCUCUCCGCAUUCGAUUCCGCCCUCGCGAAAUCCUCCACCAGGCCCAGCAGCUCGCUCAGCUCCGCGAUGGCCCGGGCGCGCUCGGCCCCGGCGAGGUCGCCGCGGGCGGCGCGGAGGCUGGGGACGCGGGUGGCGAGGGAGUGGGCGAGGGAGAAGAGCGCUUUGUACUGGGAGUAGGGGAGCACCAGGCCCAGCAGCUCGCUCAGCUCCGCGAUGGCCCGGGCGCGCUCGGCCCCGGCGUGGUCGCCGCGGGCGGCGCGGAGGCUGGCGACGCGGGUGGCGAGGGAGUGGGCGAGGGAGAAGAGGGCUUUGUACUGGGAGUAGGGGAGGGAGUGGGCGAGGGAGAAGAAGAGGGUUUUGUACUGGGAGUCGGGGAGGGAGUGGGCGAGGGAGAAGAGGGUUUUGUACUGGGAGUCGGGGAGGAGGGAGUGGGCGAGGGAGAAGAAGAGGGUUUUGUACUGGGAGUCGGGGAGGGAGUGGGCGAGGGAGAAGAAGAGGGUUUUGUACUGGGAGUAGGGAAGGGAGUGGGCCGGCGGAGGCGCGGCGGCGAGGAAGAGGAGGAGGAGAAGGAGGACGGCGGCGGAGGAUGGGAGUCGCCGGCGUGCGAAACGGGCGGUCGCCAUU
rnacentral:lncRNA from 1 species